UUUUAACAUUUUUUGAUUUUUGCAGUGCAAUAUAGAAUGACAUACAGGCCUGAGGUGCCCCAAAGGCAGUCCUCUGGCUGAGCUUUACUGUAGAUUUGACAUGCACAAUUUUUUAAUAUAGAGAACAUAAGAAAAACAGCGGUUACAUCCCUCUAUGCCACAUUUAGGAAGAGACAUUCCACAAUAGAGUUAAGCAUAGAGUGGAGCAACAGAUAAACGUUUGACUAGCCAGGCUUUAGGUAUAUGUUUUACAACAGGCUAUGAAACUGGCAGCAUAUUGAUAAAGUAGGUUUGACAAAUUAGUGAUUCAAAGCUAGGUUACGGUAUCGCUAGGUGCAGAUAUAGUGAAGCUAUGCGUGGUAUGGCUCGAAAAGGAAAGUACAAGACACAGAUGCAGAGUAUAACUAUUAAGCAUGUGCUUCAGUAUAAGGUAUGAGUUCACUCUGGUUUGGAGGGCUCAGUGUGUGGCCGUCUGCUCGCUUAGAAUCACAGUUCCAGCGGUGGCCUCAAGCCCUGCCAUGCCGCGAUGUCGUCAGCCAAUUCCCUCUGUGGGGUAGUCGCGUGUGCCUUCCAGCAGGUCACGGUAAGCUGUUGUCGCGGUCUCCCUGCGCUUUCGGCACCGUCCACCUGUGCGGGCCUCUGCAUACCUUGGUGGCUGGGUUGCUUCCUGUUUAGCCCCGUGCUGGCUGCAGUGAGCAUCCAGGCGCCGCAAGCUGUGUUGGGGAUGCUUAGUGCAUAGGGUCUGCUUUCGCCGGCCGCCAUCCUCCCCAUCUUGGGUGUACCUUGCUGCCUCAUGGUGAUCGGAAGCAAUGGUGGCCGGCUGCCUGUGGCACCCAGCGAGGACCGGGAUAACCCCCGCCGGUCCAAAGGGGGGGGGGG